AGUUUACUAUUUCAAACUUUGGCCAUCUUCCAAACUUUAACCAGUACUCAAUGAAAUGAUUGUUUGUGGAACCUGUUUCCGGAAUAUUUUUGUUGGUAAAAGUAAAAGUGGCCACAGGUUCCGGAAGCCAGCUUGGGUGGCACUUUACGACGUCAUCCUCGUCGUCAUUGUUAUGUUGUUUUCGUCGCUAUCGGGAGAAGCCAACUCUAGCCCAAAAAUUACGAUAAUCGCAGUCACAAAACGGGCAAAAGUGCAUCAAAUGUGGCCAAAAAUAUUUUGUUAGUAUAUUUAUUAGGUCAAUAAACGAGAAUAAAUGAUGUUUUAUUUUUAAAAUCAAUCGAAAA